AUGAACCGGGUGGAUCUGCAGGACAGACAGAUGAAGGAUGGAGACGUGUCUGUGAUUCUGAACAAUGUGAUGAUUAAUGACACUGGAACAUACGAGUGUCAUACCUUCAUGGAGAAAACGAAAUCAUGGGAAAACAUCAGCAUCAUCUCCCUGAGUGUUGUUGAUCCUCCAGGUCAGACAGGAGGACACACAGAGGAUGGAUCUGUAACACUGAUUGUUGGUCUUUCACUUUCUGCUGCGCUUCUUCUUGUCGCUGUUGUUGUUUUGUUUUUUUUUUACCUUCAGAAAAUUUAGACGACAACAGAAUUCAGCAGGAUUCAUGCUGGCCUCCUGUUUAACUGUGACCUGUUUGAACGAUCUCUCAGUUUUCCAGCUGAUCUGAGUCUCCUGCUGCUGAUCCAACGUCUCAGAGGUCACAUGGAGCAUUCAGGUGAGACAGACGAGGAUAUCCUGGAUUUGUUGUUCAGCAUCUUUGUAAAGACUUCAACAUGUUCUUUGGGACACAUUUAAGAACUUUAACUAAACACUGAUUAAUUUGUCCAAAAAUAUUACUCAGCGAGUUUCUUAAACUUUUUAAAGUUUUUAUUUGGUACAAAACAUGAACUAUCAGCCCUGCAAACAUUUCAGGUUUUCUGUUUUUUUGUAUCUGAAAAAAUGGUCCAAAGUGAACUUGUGACCUCCAAGAACAUCACCUGAAAGUCUUCAUAUCUUUUAAAAAAGGAGUUUAUUUGGAAGUUAAGACGUUUUGAAUAUCAUUCUAUUAGAACAAAUAUUAAACAAAAAUUAAACCCAGUUUCUGAUCAUGUUUCAUCAUCUUUAAAAACAAAGUGCCUCGAUAUGACUGUUGUUGUUUGCUGGUGGUUUUUGAAUAAAGUUGAACUGAAGCGGAAUAAAAUGGACAAAUAGUCGAGUUAGAGACUCCACUAACAACAUUUAUUCAGACAGUUAAAUAAAAACGAGACAAAGUGGGUUAUUUUUUAUUAAAAUAGUAAACCUCAGUUGAGAAAAACAAUCACCAGCUGUUAUUUGUUAACUGAUCAUUUAGAAGACACUGGUGAACAGGUUGAGGCAUCGCAGGUUUUCCUCCAAUCACUGCCAUCAUGUAGUUUUUAAUACUGAGGUUUGUGAGCUGGCCCAGCUGACAGCACUAAAACACACUGUAAAUUUGUUAAGUCAAACACACUAGAGGUAAUAAUGAUGAACUGAUAAAGUGCUGAAGCAGUUAAAUCAUUUACAGUUCAUGGUAUCGCACACUCUGAAAAUAAAGAAGCUAAUUUAAGGAUUCCUUUGUUACAAAGGAGUUUGUUUUACCCUGGAUGACCCAAAGGGAGGCUUGUUUCUCCUGAUGGAUUUCAACCAGCAGCCUAACUACUGCAUUAUUAACCUUAAACUUUAGCUGAGUGCUUGUUUCAAUGGUCUGAUCUCUGUUUUCAGGAGAAACAAGCACUGCAGUAGCACCUGACAUGUUGAGCUACCUACUCUUAUUUGUUGCUGCUAAUGUUUGUUGCACCCCUGAAUAGUGGAGAGUAUAACUUGAGUUAAGAGAAAAACAGCACCAGCUCCCAAACCAGUAUUUUUUAAUGAUGGGAAUAGAACCAGUGCUCACUCUACAGCAGGAGUGGGGAACUCCAGGCCUCGAGAGCCGGUGUCCUGCAGGUUUUAGAUGUGUCCUUGAUCCAUCACAGCUGAUUUAAAUGGCUAAAUGACCUCCUCAACAUGUCUGGUAAUGAACUAAUAAUUUGAUUCAGGUGUGUUGACCCAGGGUGAGCUCUAAAACCUGCAGGGACACUAACAGCUUUUCAAAAUAAGAUUAUGAAAACUAUAUAACUGACUCCUUUACAAACUGUAUAGCAAUAUUUUACCUCAUGAAUUUAUCUGUUAGACUUCCUUCCUCUGUUUUAGCUCAGAUUUUGAAAUGUCUGAAACUGAUCAUUAAAGCCUUUUUGCAGGUAAACUGGGAAACAGCUGCACUGAUCUAACAUCAGUUUGCAUGGCGAAUAUUUGAAUCUGAAUCUUCCUGGAUGCUAUGAUAUCAGCUGACUGGGUGGCAGUGUGGACGUGACUCUUACAGCACCUUUGCUGUUACUUUGUGCUUGCUGAUCUACAAUUUUAUUUUAAAGGGUCAGUUUAUCAACAUUAAAUAACAUACUUUACCCAUUUUAAAUGUGAACUGGAAGGGCUUUAUGUUUGGUCCAAGUUUACUCAAAAACUAAAGAGACUUCCACGUCUCCUGAACUUAACACAUGGUGUAAGUAACCUGUAAUUUAAAGUCUAAUGUGAAGCUGUCAGGUCAUAAAAUAAAUGGCAGCAAAAUUCUAAAUGAUGAAAUAUGAAUGAUUUUCUUUUUCCUGUCCUGACUUCUUUGCAGCACCAGCCUCUGUCAGUGCGCCCCAGGGUGGCUGUGGCUACAAUGUAGCUUGCCAUCACCAGUGUGUGAAUGGGUGGAUGACUGGAUGUGUAAAGCGCUUUGGGGUCCUUAGGGACUAGUAAAGCGCUAUACAAAUACAGGCCAUUUAUCAUUUACCAUGUUGCAUAUUUUAUCUUUGUAGCAGGACUUUGCCAUAUCACUGUACUAUAGAAUUUUUACAUAAUAUAAAAUGAUCAAAUUGUGAUAUUAUUGCUAUAGCACUGCCAUGCAUUUAGUUUCCUUGAAAAAAAUAAAAUAGCAUUAUCGCUCACUCCCACUUCAUAGAUCUUCAUCACCCGAUCCUCCAAAAAUCCCUCUGGUGUUGGCAGAUUUUCUGGAUUUUGCAGAUGCUUGACCCAUUUUGUGAAGAAGAGUCAAAUGAUGCUUUAAACUCCUGAUGUUAUAUGAGUACGCUCAGACUCUAAAUCCAAGGUCCAGUCCUCUGAAAGUUCGUCCUUGUGGAAAAGCAGGGCAGCCG
ensembl:lncRNA